GGGGCGGGGCGAGGGCGGGAUCGGGGGCGGUGCCGGCGGCGCAGAGACCAGCUUCCUGGCAACCUGGCCAAGCACCUGCUGGACAGGCGCCACCAGUUACCUACCAGUUACUGUAUGGGCCUGGCAGGUCACCCAAACUCUCUGAGCCUCUGUGUCCUUACAUCUAAAAUGUGGGUGGUAGUAGAGUCUACCUCCCUGCGUUAUUAAGGGGAUGAGAACUUGAGAAGGAAGAAGUGAUGGAGAAACCGAGGCAUAGAAGAACAGAGCUAGCGGGACGGAAGAGGAACCAGAUGUUCUCUCCCACCUGCCAGUAGGCAACUCCAGGAUCCAAUGAGGCAUCAAUGUUGGUGGAUGGAGCCCCUUAGCUGGAUGGAGUCCAGUGUCCAGGAGAGACUGAUUGGCAAUGACCCCCUCUUCAGUGGAACUCAGCACGGAGGGGCUACGGUCUUCAGAAGAGGACAGCAUCCCUUUCCCCGGUUCUCUUUGUGCCCACCUUGCCCUAACAUUGAGCCUCCACAUCGUCAGCUGCAAAGCGGAGAAAGAAAGAAAGUGGCAGCCCAGCUGGGACAAAUCCAAGCAGCCCACCAAGACCCGCAAGGACCUGGAGAAAUGGUGCGGCAGGCACACGUGCAUUCUGUGGGGUACCAGGCGGCCAGCCGCUCCCCAGCAGGACUCUGUGAAUAUGUUGCCUUACACGGUAAAAGGGGCUUCCCUGUUGCAAUCUAGUCACGGAUCUGGAGAUGGGUAAGUCAUCCUGGAUUAUCCCCGUAGGCCCGAUGCUGUAGGCGGACCACAGUGAGUAGUAGGUGUGCCAGCAAGAGCAUGUGUCUUGUGAGGGAGGGGUUGUGAGCCAAGGAAGGAGGCCGCUUUCUAGAAGCUGGAAAACUCAGCCUCUCUCCUGCAGCCCUCAGAAGGGACAUGGCGGUGCUGACCCCUUCAUUUUAGAUUUCGGGUACCCGGAAGCGUAAGGUAAUAAAUCAGCGUGGUUUUAGGCCACUAAAUUUGUGGAAAUUAAUACAAUAGGCACAGGAUGAGAAUUUGUGAGUUACUGUAGGUAACAGCUGCAGUGCCUAGCGCAGCUGGUGCUUGGUGGACGGGGCUCAGAGGGCCGCUGGUAAUCGGGGCGACGGGGAGGAGUCCGCAGGAGUGCAGGGAUUCAAAACUCCAUGCAUACCGCGAAGCCACAGCAAUGGCUAAUAAAGAAGUGGCUGUUCCGUAGGCAUCGGCGUGGAGACCAGCGGGUGACGCGGACAGGAUGAGGACGAUGACGUCACUGCUGUUUUCUGCAACCCCCUGCCUGUCAGGCACUGAGCUAAGCGCUCUCCCUCCUUCCGAUCCUCAUAAGGAUGCGCGGGAUCUCUUUCAGUCCGAGAGAAACCACAAAGCCAUUUGGACUGGAGAAGUCUGACAUAAAGAAUUAUUAACUGGGGGGACGCCUGGGUGGCUCAGUUGGUUGGACGACUGCUUUCGGCUCAGGUCAUGAUCC